rnacentral:rRNA from 1 species
UAGGUCCCGAGCGUUGUCCGGAAUUAUUGGGCGUAAAGCGCGCGCAGGCGGUUUCUUAAGUCUGAUGUGAAAGCCCACGGCUCAACCGUGGAGGGUCAUUGGAAACUGGGGAACUUGAGUGCAGAAGAGAAAGCGGAAUUCCACGUGUAGCGGUGAAAUGCGCAGAGAUGUGGAGGAACACCAGUGGCGAAGGCGGCUUUCUGGUCUGUAACUGACACUGAGGCGCGAAAGCGUGGGG